rnacentral:rRNA from 1 species
GUGGGGAAUAUUGGACAAUGGGCGAAAGCCUGAUCCAGCCAUGCCGCGUGUGUGAAGAAGGUCUUCGGAUUGUAAAGCACUUUAAGUUGGGAGGAAGGGCAGUAAGUUAAUACCUUGCUGUUUUGACGUUACCGACAGAAUAAGCACCGGCUAACUUCGUGCCAGCAGCCGCGGUAAUACGAAGGGUGCAAGCGUUAAUCGGAAUUACUGGGCGUAAAGCGCGCGUAGGUGGUUUUGUAAGUUGGAGGUGAAAUCCCCGGGCUCAACCUGGGAACUGCCUCAAAAACUGCAUGACUAGAGUACGGUAGAGGGUAGUGGAAUUUCCUGUGUAGCGGUGAAAUGCGUAGAUAUAGGAAGGAACACCAGUGGCGAAGGCGACUACCUGGACUGAUACUGACACUGAGGUGCGAAAGCGUGGGGAGCAAACAGGAUUAGAAACCCGAGUAGUCC